AUUGAACGCUGGCGGCAGGCCUAACACAUGCAAGUCGAGCGAGCGGCGGACGGGUGUGUAAUGUCUGGGAAACUGCCUGAUGUAGGGGGAUAACUACUGGAAACGGUAGCUAAUACCGCAUACCAUCCGAUGUGCCCAGAGGGGAUUAGCGAGUAGGUGGGGUUAAGGCCUACAAAGGCGACGAUCCGUAACUGGGCUGAGAGGAUGAUCAGUAAAACUGGAACUGAGACACGGGCCAGACUACGACGGGAGGAAGCAGUGGGGAAUAUUGGAAAAUGGGCGAAAGCCUGAUCCAGCCAUGCCGCGUGUGUGAAGAAGGUCUUAGGAUUGUAAAGCACUUUAAGUUGGGAGGCGUUACCAACAGAAUAAGCACCGGCUAACGCCGUGCCAGCAGCCGCGGUAAUAC
rnacentral:rRNA from 1 species